AGGGUGAGGAAGUCCAUGGGCAGCGGAGCUUUGUGAUAUCAGCAUGAGUGUGGCAAUUUAUUUUUGAGAUCGCAAGCACAUGGUAUUUGGGGUGGGAAACAAGUGCAUCAUGCCAGAUCUGGGAUGUUCCCUCUGGGUGGAGCUGCCUGGCCCUUAUAAAAGGAGUCUCUACCACCGUGCUGCUAUCUUCGUGAUACUCAGUCAUAGGUCUUCUUUGGAGCCUCUGAUUCCUUGAGACCCAGGAAGGAUGCCUCACCAUCCGCAUCCACAUCCACAUCCACAGCAGCAUCAGCAUCACCAUCACCAUCAGUGCAAGGAGCCCUGCCAUCCACCUCCAAAAGUGUGCCCACCGAAGUGCCAUGAGCCUUGCCCACCCCAUCCAUGCCCACCUCCAGUGAGCCAGCAGAAAUGCCCUCCUGGGCCACCAUGCCCACCAUGGGAGCAGAAGUGUCCACCCAAGUGGAAGUAACAGCACCAGAUUUCAUCUGGACCAAGAAAUAAGAUCCAGGCUCUUCCAUUGUCCUCCCUUCGGCCAUGGUGAUGGAUUGCAUCUUCCUUAACCUCCCUCCUGGACCGACAGCUGACAGAGAAAUGGCUUGCUUCCUGAAGCUGACACCACCCUGUGGGAUAAAGAGCAACCGCCUGAUUGCUCUUUGCCAUGUGCCUGUCUGUAAUCCGGGUUCUGAUCUCUAGCCUGUGGGCACUUAGUGUGUCUAUUCUUUGCUUCUCCAAUAAAGCCUGUGUCAUAGUUGAGUCCA